UACGAAGGGGGCUAGCGUUGCUCGGAAUCACUGGGCGUAAAGCGCACGUAGGCGGAUUGCUAAGUCAGGGGUGAAAUCCUGGAGCUCAACUCCAGAACUGCCUUUGAUACUGGCGAUCUCGAGUCCGGGAGAGGUGAGUGGAACUGCGAAGUGUAGAGGUGAAAUUCGUAGAUAUUCGCAAGAACAUCAGUGGCGAAGGCGGCUCACUGGCCCGGUACUGACGCUGAGGUGGCG
rnacentral:rRNA from 1 species